UACGUAGGGUGCGAGCGUUGUCCGGAAUUACUGGGCGUAAAGAGCUCGUAGGUGGUUUGUCGCGUUGUUCGUGAAAUCUCACGGCUUAACUGUGAGCGUGCGGGCGAUACGGGCAGACUAGAGUACUGCAGGGGAGACUGGAAUUCCUGGUGUAGCGGUGGAAUGCGCAGAUAUCAGGAGGAACACCGGUGGCGAAGGCGGGUCUCUGGGCAGUAACUGACGCUGAGGAGCGAAAGCAUGGGGAGCGAACAGG
rnacentral:rRNA from 1 species